rnacentral:tRNA from 1 species
CCGACCUUAGCUCAGUUGGAAGAGCGCGAGACUGUAAUUGGAUAAAAAUCAUCUUGAGGUCGCCUGUUCGAGCCAGGCAGGUCGGA